CAAACCGGUUUCGAGUCUGAAUUCCCUCCAAGCGGACCGUAUCCUCCUUCGUGUGCCAUUCAAAGGGCUAUAUAAACUAGAACGAAGACGUUUCCAGCAUCAAACUCACCUGACUUCUCUCAAGAGAGUUCAUAUUCAACAAAGCUAUCAGCCAUGAAGUUCCUGAUCGUCGCUUCAAUCUGCGUCACUUUGGUUUUCUGCCAAAACCGGUUUCCAUCAAAACCAAAUGUCCGUACAUUGCCAGCUGAUGUGCUCAGAGAUUUCCCAGGAGUCUGCUUCGGGUCUUCGGCUUGCCGGAUCUUCCACGUGGGCCAAUCGUGGCCCCUGAGUCCUUUCUGCGGCAAAUCAACCUGCCUGAAGGAGGGAAACAAGUUGGUCGAGAAAAGUAGAGGACUGCGGUCUCCCGCCGAAGAGGAAUCCUGGAUGCAAGAUCGCCAAUGAAGCCAACUUCCAGAAGCCAUACCCUGAAUGCUGCCCCGUUUACGAGUGCCAGGAAGGGGCCACCCUCGAAUACCCAACGCAGGAGGAAAUAGCAGCUGCGGGGGCAGAAAGAGCUGCGCAGGCAGCGGCAGCUGCUCGGGCUGCCAAAGCUGGUGCUGCCAGAGCUGGUGCUGCAUAAAGGCGUAACCUUCGGCUCGCAUAAAUUACCGUUACACUUUUUCCAGUUUGUUUUUUGACUGUUAUUUUCAAUCUAUUCCUUGAUAGCCAAACUAAAUCCUAUCCAUAUCGCUGUAUUUGUUACCGGUCGUUGAUUUCAUAGCGAAUUCAAAUGUAAGGAAAUAAGAGAAAUAGGGUUAUGUAAAUGGUUUUUAUCCACAAACGGCAUUUUCUUCACGAUUCCAACAGUUAUAAAGCAGGGAGUGAAAAUGAGUGAUAAGUGUACACCGCGGGCAUUAAUAAGAUUAAAAAUCGGAAUGUAAUGUAUUUAGUCACUACCAGACGCUACUUUUAUUUCAGAGCCACAAUAUCUUAAGUGCAGUAAUCUUAUCAAAAGUAAUUUUAUGCAAAUAGUAAAAUAAAGGAGAAUUCCUGGA